rnacentral:rRNA from 1 species
UACGUAGGGUGCAAGCGUUAUCCGGAAUUAUUGGGCGUAAAGAGCUCGUAGGCGGCUUGGCAAGUCGGAUGUGAAAACUCCAGGCUCAACCUGGAGCCGCCAUUCGAUACUGCUAUGGCUAGAGUCCGGUAGGGGAGUGUGGAAUUCCCGGUGUAGCGGUGAAAUGCGCAGAUAUCGGGAGGAACACCGAUGGCGAAGGCAGCACUCUGGGCCGGUACUGACGCUGGAGACGCGAAAGCGUGGGGAGCGAACGAGGAUU